UGUACGUAACCACUCUAACCCUACCCUCUCCCCCCACCUCUUCAAAGUCUGUACUCAUCCGCGUGGUCAGCCGCCCCCUGUGUCAACCGCCGUGUGUGCACCGCCAUCUCCGUCAACCGUCGUCUGUCUACAGAAAAUCGCGGCCUUCUCCCUCAAACUUUAUCUCUCUCCGUCUAUUCCCUCAAAUCUGUCAUCUCUCCCUUAAAACCCCGUCUCUCUCCCGUCACCGUGCCACUGGCACCACGCCCCGUCUGUACUCCGCCAUGACCGUGUCGUUUCGUGCCGUCCCCGCUUGUUCGGCACAGCCACAGCUACCUCCUGCUCGGCACAACCACGGUUCCAGUUCUCACGCACAAGAGGCCCACUUUGAUGUCCGUUUAGUGCAGGGCGAUUUUCAUGUUCAAGCAAAAUUACAAAAAAGAGGCAAGAAACAACCAACUUGAGAAAUUACGAAGUGUCCAUCACAAUUGGAUUUGAAACAAUGUGAAUUUUUUAUAUUGCGAUUCAUGAAGGACAUUAUCGAAAAGACUAUAGAGAGUGGUUCCAGCUAUCUACGUUUACUUGAUACUUAUGAUCGAAAGGAUAUUGAUGAAGUUCGUGUUGAGUGUGCAAGCCUGUUGAUGGAAAACAUAUAGUAUGAUAUAUUUUCAUUUUAGUGUGAUAUACUUUUUGAAUCGACAUAAUUGUAUUGAUGACACUUCAUACUUUGUACUUUGUGGUUAAUUUUGGGUUUGACAUUGUAUGAAUACUUGCUACAAGAUUAUUGGAUGAAAUAUUUUAAUUAUGUGCAAUGGAAUUUAUUUUAUUUUAA